UUCCGCUGACAAAAGCGAAACACAUUCGACCGACGCGUGCCACCUACCACUAGGCUCUAGACUUUGUUUUUUUUCUUCGUCUGCCAACGAACGUCUUCGGCUGUACAUCCGCGAUCUCAAAGCUCGGUGCAACCGAUUGUGCCGUGGCAAUCAACCAUUUUUCCAAUAAAGGUGGCGACGUCUCCACGAUGUUCACGCACGAGCUGCUCGCUGCGACGCAGUGGAUCUUGACAGCAUCUCCUAUGGCCUAGUCAGCGGUAAAGGGUGAUUUGAACGGGUAUAACUGCGAAGAUGAAGGCUCGCAUUGAAGAUAACGUCAUCUACUCGCCCAAUCCGAACAUUGAAAUUCCUGUGUGUUCUUUCUACACUCUCGCAAGAGAGAGGCUGCUUGUGCAUCCCGACAAGAUUUCCCUGAUUGCGCAGUACUUUCCGGAGGACACGCGGCCGCCAGCGUUUACUCUGGAAAAUUCGAUGACUCACAUAUAGAAGCCGACCCGCUUGACCCACUAAUGAGAUUUUGACGGCUGUGUUUGCCGCUAGAGCCAAGAUUUUAGUGUGACCUGUUUUUCUUGGCACAUAUUCGCGAAAUAAAGGGUUAGU